GGGUUUGAUCCUGGCUCAGGAUGAACGCUGGCGGCGUGCCUAACCAAUGCAAGUCGAACGGACUGGCAAGAAGUGAAGGCCCUGGAAGGGGCGGAAGAUGAGAAAUCAUUGGACGCUCUGGAAGGGGUGGAAGCUUGGAGCCGGUCAGUGGCGGACGGGUGAGUAACACGUGGGAAUCUACCCUUGGGUGGGGAAUAACAGUUCGAAAGGACUGCUAAUUCCGCAUACGAUCCGGAAGGAUGAAAGGGGCAACUCGCCCAAGGAUGAGCCCGCGGCCGAUUAGCUAGUUGGUGGGGUAAAGGCCUACCUAGGCGAGGAUCGGUAGCUGGUCUGAGAGGACGAUCAGCCACACUGGAACUGACAACGGUCCAGACUCCUACGGGAGGCAGCAGGGAGGAAUAUUGCGCAAUGGGGGAAACCCAGACGCAGCAACGCCGCGUGAGAGAUGAAGGCCUUCGGGUUGUAAAACUCUUUUCCGAGGGAUGAGAGCGGACAGUACCUCGGGUAUAAGUCUCGGCUAACUACGUGCCAGCAGCCGCGGUAAAACGUAGGAGGCGAGCGUUAUCCGGAUUUACUGGGCGUAAAGGGCAAGUAGGCGGUGCCACAAGUUGGGUGUGACAUCUCCCGGCUCAACUGGGAGGGGCCAUUCAAGACUGUGGGACUGGAGGACAGGAGAGGGAAGCGGAAUUCCUAAUGUAGCGGUGGAAUGCUCAGAUAUUAGGAAGAACACCAGUGGCGAAGGCGGCUUCCUGGCCUGCACCUGACGCUGAGAGGCGAAAGCUAGGGGAGCGAACGGGCUUAGAUACCCCGGUAGUCCUAGCUGUAAACGUUGGAUACUGGGUAUUAGGGGGCUAAAAUCCUUUAGUGCCGAAGCAAACGCGUUAAGUAUCCCGCCUGGGGACUACGGCCGCAAGGUUAAAACUCAAAGGAAUUGGCGGGGGCCCGCACAAGCAGCGGAGCGUGUGGUUUAAUUCGAUUGACACGAAGAACCCUACCUGGGUUUGACAUGUAUGUAGUAGGGGAGCGAAAGCCGACCGACCCUUCGGGGAGCAUACACAGGUGCUGCAUGGCUGUCGUCAGCUCGUGCCGUGAGGUGUUGGGUUAAGUCCCACAACGAGCGCAACCCCUGUUGCUAGUUGUAAGUUUCUAGCGAGACUGCCGGCGUAUAACCGGAGGAAGGUGGGGAUGACGUCAAGUCAGCAUGGCCUUUAUAUCCAGGGCUACACACACGCUACAAUGGCCGGUACAGAGGGUUGCCAAGCCGCGAGGCGGAGCUAAUCUCAAAAAACCGGUCUCAGUUCAGAUUGCAGGCUGCAACUCGCCUGCAUGAAGUCGGAGUUGCUAGUAACCGCAGGUCAGCCAUACUGCGGUGAAUACGUUCCCGGGCCUUGUACACACCGCCCGUCACGUCAUGGAAGCUGGCAACACCUGAAGUCGGUGAGCCGACCGCAAGGGGGCAACUGCCUAAGGUGGGGCUGGUAACUGGGACGAAGUCGUAACAAGGUA
rnacentral:rRNA from 1 species